AAGGGGAAGAGGCACAGGGACAACCUGAGUGUGGGGAUGGGGAGCAGCAUGGUGCUUUGGUGGUGCUACCGGCAAAGCCAUGAUUCAGAAGACCGAGGACACCCUUGCUGGCAGCUGAUCUUUGAAGAAGUACCAGCUCAGAGAGAGACUCUUGGCCCAUGUCAGGACUCAACAAAUGUGGCUGAAUGAACGAAUGAAUGAUUGUGAUGGGAUAAAGCCAGCUUUUCCUUUUUUUAUUUUAUUUUAUUAUUAUUAUACUUUAAGUUUUAGGGUACAUGUGCACAAUGUGCAGGUUUGUUACAUAUGUAUACAUGGGCCAUGUUGGUGUACUGCAACCAUUAACUCGUCAUUUAGCAUUAGGUAUAUCUCCUAAUGCUAUCCCUCCCCCCUCCCCCCACCCCACAACAGUCCUCGGAGUGUGAUGUUCCCCUUCCUGUGUCCAUGUGUUCUCAUUGUUCAAUUCCCACCUAUGAGUGAGAACAUGCGGUGUUUGGUUUUUUGUCCUUGCCAUAGUUUGCUGAGAAUGAUGAUUUCCAGUUUCAUCCAUGUCCCUGCAAAGGACAUGAACUCAUCAUUUUUUAUGGCUGCAUAGUAUUCCAUGGGGUAUAUGUGCCACAUUUUCUUACUCCAGUCUAUCGUUGUUGGACAUUUGGGUUGGUUCCAAGUCUUUGCUAUCGUGAAUAGUGCUGCAAUAAACAUACGUGUGCGUGU
rnacentral:lncRNA from 10 species